CGCUAAACCGGCUUCUCGGCGCCAUUUUGUCUGAGCGGCGGUGGUCGCAGCUCUAUCGCAUUUUACGUUUCUGGCGAGACGAGAGCCGACUGUGUAUCCUGUAGAUUCAUUUUAGUGCGGCACCUAUCCACGGUUCACUCCAGGACAGCACCUAGUGAAGGUCGGAGGAGUCGCGAACCUGUCAAAAGGUCGGUUGGAAGCUGUGGCUGUCCGAGUGACUAGGGGAUGGCGCAGCUUUAGCGGCACCGGCACCGGAAGUGGACGGGCCGCGCGGCGGCCAUGGCAAAGUGGUCUGAAGAAAACCGAAAUUUCUCAGUGACAUAUCCUAAAGUAUUACUGAGAAUAAACCUCAUUUUGUGGGAAAAUGAAGGAAGAUGUUCCAGUUUUAAAAGACCUGGAUCUACUGUUGAAAAUUCUGUUUCUGUCUGAUACACUUCAGGCCUCCAAAUGAUUGCUUGUUGCCGUCUAGUUGCUGCUCACCCAGACCAGUCUAUCUACUAAAGGUCUCUUUAUGAAUGAUGGAAAUAGAAGCAAAUGGAUAGUCAUAAUCAGAUAAGUGCUUUAAUAGUCUAAAUAUAUUUUUUGG